rnacentral:rRNA from 1 species
AUUGAACGCUGGCGGCAGGCCUAACACAUGCAAGUCGAGCGAGCGGCGGACGGGUGAGUAAUGUCUCGGAAACUGCCUGAUGGAGGGGGAUAACUACUGGAAACGGUAGCUAAUACCGCAUACCAUCAGAUGUGCCCACAGGGGAUUAGCUAGUUGGUGGGGUAAAGGCCUACCAAGGCGACGAUCCGUAACUGGUCUGAGAGGAUAAUCAAUAACAAUGGAACUGAGACACAGUCCAUACUCCUACGGUAGGCAGCAGUGGGGAAUAUUGGACAAUGGGCGAAAGCAUGAUCCAGCCAUGCCGCGGGUGUGAAGAAGGUCUUCGGAUUGUAAAGCACGUUAAGUUGGGAGGCGUUACCAACAGAAUAAGCACUGACUAACUCCGGGCCAGCAGCCGCGGUAAUAC